rnacentral:lncRNA from 1 species
AUUGUUGAGUGUUGUGAAGAGAGAUUGUUGGGUGUUCUGAAUUAUACUUAAGUAGUGCAAGAUUGUAACGGCUAUAUUUUACUUCAAAAGCAUUUCUAACGGUAAUAUUGAGAGGGAUAUAUUCACCAUUUUUUAUUUCAAACGUGUUUAUUGGUUCAUAGAAUUUUAGUAGAAUCAUAAAAAAUGACACAUUACAAAAAAC